rnacentral:lncRNA from 1 species
GAUUCGAUACCCAUUCAUUCGAGUGUAUACAAUAGUAACUUACUCUUAUUGGACAAGGUAAUAAGACGCACACAACGUAGAGAAAAUCGUAAUCGUUUAAGGCGAGCACAAAAACAAAUGAUUUAAAGACACGAUUUGCUAAGUAAAGAGAAGUCAUACAUACCUUUACUUCGAUUUCCUUUCGUACUGGAAUCACCGAAUCGGACGCAAAUGAAUUUUUCUUGUUCUACCAAUCAGCGAAGAGAUUGUCUUUACAAAUACCGCGUGAUAUAUCACGUUGACAGCUGAUAGCGUCCAUCGCUUUCAUUGAAGGGCCACGACUACUUGACCCUUUCCGUUACACAAUCGAAAAUAAACCGCAUCGAAAUGACGGCGUAUGUAUCUACUACCAACGCAAAUAUCUUGAAAUAAUAUUAUACAUGUGGUUGACUUCUAACUAUUCAUACAAAAAACCUUGCUAAAGAAUAAUAAAAAAUACAUCAUUUAUAUUUGUUUACAAUAUUAAUAACAUCGAUAUCAAUACUUAUAAUGGAAUAUUUUAUAUAUUUAUUGAAAAUAUUUCACGUUAAGACAUAUAUGCAUACAUACGUCACAUUUUAGGUUACACGAUUAAACACACCUAAUAUUUUAUAACCUAGAAAAGCGAUAAUUAUUUCUGCUGAAAUAAAACUUGAUGUUUGGAUAGUCGA